UACAGAGGUCCCAAGCGUUGUUCGGAUUCACUGGGCGUAAAGGGUGCGUAGGUGGCUUUGCAAGUCUGAUGUGAAAUCUCCGGGCCCAACCCGGAAAUGGCAUUAGAAACUGUGGGGCUAGAGGCUUGGAGGGGGAACUGGGAAUGCUCGGUGUAGCAGUGAAAUGCGUAGAGAUCGAGCGGAACAACCAGUGGCGAAGGCGAGUUCCUGGACAAGUCCUGACACUGAGGCACGAAAGCCUAGGGGAGCAAACAGG
rnacentral:rRNA from 1 species